rnacentral:rRNA from 1 species
UACAGAGGUCCCGAGCGUUGUUCGGAUUCACUGGGCGUAAAGGGUGCGUAGGUGGCCUGAAAAGUUUGAUGUGAAAGCUCAGGGCUUAACCCUGAAAUGGCAUUGAAUACUGUCGGGCUGGAGGUUUGGAGGGGGGACUGGAAUUCUUGGUGUAGCAGUGAAAUGCGUAGAUAUCAAGAGGAACACCAGUGGCGAAGGCGAGUCCCUGGACAACACCUGACGCUGAGGCACGAAAGCUAGGGGAGCAAACAGG